ACGCUCACCGCAUGAAUAUACCUUUUUUCUCAUCCAAAAUUCUAGGUAUAUGCGUGGGCUUCUUUUUCAUCUACGGGCUGGUUUCCCCUUCCCUAACCUAGCCGCCGUCGUUCCUUCUCCGACGCCCGACGCCCCGACCCAGAACUUCCUGCAAGCACGCAUUGUUGCUAUCAGACUAUAAAAAUGAUGGGUUCACGAGGUACCGGCACUGUUCUCUCAAGAGCUGCUCGGAUGAGGCAAAAACUGCAGUCUUCUUUGGAGGCCAGUGCGUUGGAUAUUGAAGAUGUUUCUUAUCAACAUGCCGGGCAUGCAGCCGUCAAGGACAAUGCAAAUGAGACACAUUUUAACAUCAAGGUAAUUUCACCAAAGUUUGAGGGGCAGAGUCUUGUGAAGAGACACAGGAUGGUGUAUGAUCUCUUGACUGAUGAGUUGAACUCGGGUCUUCAUGCUAUCUCCAUUGUUGCGAAAACGCCAAAAGAGUCUGGUUCCUGAAUGUCAAAAAAGCCACUGACUUAGUAUUCGCUCUACAAUAAGUUGACUGCAGGUGCAGCUAUAUCAUGUAACCAUGCUCGUUCAAACGAUGUUAUGACAUGCUACUUUCAUGAAUUGUGUUCUCAUUAGAUUGAAGUGUCAAUUAUCUGUUGUUAAUGGUU